rnacentral:rRNA from 1 species
GCUUAACACAUGCAAGUCGAGCGAGAAUCGUUUUGCUGAAGGCUUCGGUCUGACGCAGAAUGAGGAAAGCGGCGAACGGGUGAGUAACGCGUGGGCAACCUGGCCUUAAGAAAAGGAUAGCCCACGGAAACGGGGAGUAAUACUUUAUGAGAAUGAAAGAGGGCAUCCUACUUUCAUUCAAAGCGGAAGCGCUUAAGGAUGGGCCAGCCUAUCAUUAGCUAGUUGGUGAGAUAACAGCCCACCAAGGCAACGAUGAUUAGCCGGUCUGGGAGGGCGAACGGCCACAUUGGAACUGAGAGUCGGUCCAAACUCCUACGGGAGGCAGCAGUGGGGAAUAUUGCGCAAUGGAGAAGAACUCUGACGCAGCAAUACCGCGUGAGCGAAGAAGGUCUUCGGAUCGUAAAGCUCUGUUAUCAGGGAAGAAGAAAAUGACGGUACCUGAUGAGCAAGUCCCGGCUAACUACGUGCCAGCAGCCGCGGUAAAAC